GAGCUUGCAGCCUCCUAAAGUGUCCUGGUGUUUCUCUGCAUGGGCUGAAGCUUUCUGGAAUUGUGUGAUGGCUCUAUAAAUUGUGGCCAUCUCAACUAGGACAGUGGUACCCUGAGGAUGAAUCUUGCUUCUCCAGUGAGAUACUAACACAAGGUAAAUCACCAAAAUGAAUGCAAGUCUGGAAGCAGCUUCAUUGGAAAUUAUUCUCGCAUACCUACAUCAACUCCAAAUAAGAACAACAGAAAUGUUCUUAAACUAGGGAGAAUUUUUGAAAAAUUGAGUUGUUUUUUUUUUAAUCUAUCUUGAGGACUUUUUAUGUUGGGCGUCUUCUGGAAUCACCAUACAGAAUAAAGGCCCCUUUGAGAGAAUCCUUUCAACCUUUGCAGUGACUGGAAAUCUAAGAGCAGCAAGGAAAAGAUCUUGCUCCUCUGCUUUUGACAGAUGCCUGCAAAAUGUCAUCAGACCUUUGUGUGGACCUGUUUGGGUCUUUGAGAGAAAAGGUUUCAGCCUCUCAGGAGCAGAGAUUUACAUCCAAGGAGUUCUAUUGGCCCUGCACCAACGAGUAAAUCCUGCAAAGUGUUGCAAACAGCUGUGCCACAUGCUGGAGAGGCUGCAGUGCCUGUUAGGAAAUGCUUGUCCUGUGAUUGCAGAGCCCACAGUAGAGGAGUUAAUUGUGUCUGUCUCUCU